UUUGGGUUAGCGCAAAAGCUGAAUUCUAGAUUUUGGUCCUCAGGGUUUGGGAAGAGAGAAAAAUAUGAAGAAAAAUUAUUUCUUCUCCUUUCUUUUUCUACAUCCUCAUAUCCUCUAGAAGUUCAUCUUCAAUCUCUAAAAAAGUUUUAAAGAUUUGAAGAAAAGAUCCAGAUCAGUCAAGAAGAAAGUCUUCGUGCAAGCUAGUACUCAAAAAAAGAUCAAUC
rnacentral:lncRNA from 1 species